rnacentral:lncRNA from 1 species
UGACACUGGGUGACAGUGGGGGGGCACUGGGUGACACUGCGAGGUGACACUGGGUGACACUGGGUGACAGUGGGGGGGACACUGGGUGACACUGGGUGACAGUGGGGCUGACACUGGGUGACACUGGGAGCUGACACUGGGUGACACUGGGGGUGACAAUGGGUGACACUGGGUGACACCGGGGGCUGAUACUGGGUGACACUGGGUGACACUGGGGGUGACACUGGGAGCUGACAGUGGGUGACAGUGACGGUGGCAGCAACUGUAGCUGUGAUAGUGACAGUGACAAGCAGUGACGGUGACAACAGCGGUGACCAUGGCAACAACAACCGGUGACAGUGACGGUGUUGGUGACAGUGAUAGUGACAGUGACAGCGAUUGUAGCUGUGAUAGUGACGGUGACAAGCAGUGAUGGUGACAACGGUGGUGUCUAUGGCAACAACAAUUGGUGACAGUGACGGUGACAGUCUUGGUGACAGUGAUGGCGUUGGUGACGGUGACAAUGUUGGUGACAACGACCGGUGACAGUGAUGGUGUUGGUGAUGGUGAUGGUGAUGGUGUUGGUGACAAUGUUGGUGACAAUGUUGGUGACAGCGACAGCGACUGUAGCUGUGAUAGUGACAGUGACAAGCAGUGAUGGUGACAACAGCGGUGUCCAUGGCAACAACAAUUGGUGACAGUGACGGUGCUGGUGCCGGUGCUGGUGCCGGUGCUGGUGACGGUGAUGGUGACGGUGAUGGUGACGGUGACAGUCUUGGUGAUGGUGACGGUGAUGGUGACAGUGAUGGUAACGGUGUUGGUGCCGGUGAUGGUGACGGUG